UUAUACUUUCAGGGCAGGGUGAAAUUCCCGACCGGCGGUAACGUUUUAUACGAAGCCCGCGAGCCUUUUUGGCUGAUCUGGUGAAACUCCAGAGCCGACAGUACAGUCUGGAUGAGAGAAAGUAAUU
rfam:Clostridium aceticum strain DSM 1496, complete genome.